CGCCUCUUGAAACUACAUAAGAGGUCCAGCCUGCCCAGUGACUAAGUUCAACGGCCGCGGUAUCCUAACCGUGCGAAGGUAGCGUAAUCACUUGUUCUUUAAAUGAGGACUAGUAUGAAUGGCACCACGAGGGUUAUGCUGUCUCCUUUUUCUAAUCAAUGAAACUGAUCUCCCCGUGAAGAAGCGGGGAUAUAUCUAUAAGACGAGAAGACCCUAUGGAGCUUUAAAUCAUGUAACACUGGCUUUCACAUUAAAAUAUUCCAGAAUUUUCAUAAUUACUCUAGCCACUAUGAUUACUAGUUUUAGGUUGGGGUGACCACGGAGCAAAAAUUAACCUCCAUGUUGAACGGAGCUACUCCUGAGCCAAAAGCCACGACUUUAAGCACUAAAAAAUUAACAUUAAUUGACCCAAUAUUUUUGAUCAACGAACCAAGUUACCCUAGGGAUAACAGCGCA
rnacentral:rRNA from 1 species